GGCAAAGCAAACACUAGUUCUUUGAGAAAAUCAACAAAGCUGAGAAAUGGAUGGCCAGACUGAUCAGUAAGGAAAAAGAUUGAGAAGCUGAAUUAACAAAAUCAGGAGAGAUCACUAUAUAUUCUACAGACAGUGAGAAGAUCAUAAGAAAUCAAAGUUAUAAACAUUUACAAGGGUCUCACUAUGCAGUUCAGGCUGACUCUGAACUCACUUUGUAACCUAGCCUAGCCUCGAACUCAGAGUGAUCCUCCUGCCUCAGCCUCCUGAGUGCUGAGAUUACAGGACAGCAAAAGCCUGGAAGGGACCUCUGAGAUCAUCAGUACCCCAUUAAUAGCUUUUGGCGAGCCAGCCAGCAGGUAAGAGUGGACUGCCACACCCUGAAGAGCUGACUAGAGAUGGAACAGGGACAGAAUGCAGCUAGGGGUACAGCCCCAUGUGGGUGCUUGGCUCAGAACCCACUGUGAAGCCCAGCUAAGCUUAUGCCUUCGCUUCGUGCCUUGUACUGGGCUGGGGUACGUGCCCUUGGUGCACUGGCUGGGGGUGUCCACAGCCACAAACCCGGGGCCGUGUGGCCCCAGGUACUAGUGGGCCUUUGGGAAGAUGGUACUGUUUGAGCACUUAUGCUCUGCUAGCUGGUUGGGCUUGCAGACGAAGUCACAUCUAGUCCUAGUGCCCUAAGGAAAGGGUGUGGCGACUGGAGAUUUUGGAUUCCACAGAAGGCUGUUAAGAGUCCAGCUAAAUGCAGACCAAGGGAGCAGGUUGAUAGCCCCAGGGGCAGUUAAUGCUGGUGGCCCUGGAGCCACUCAGCAGCCUGCUGGUUCCCUCCACUCCUACCACCAUUCUCCUUCAUGCCUCCCACCACCCCACUCGCUUGGCCGCUUGGCGGGGUUCAGGCCAAGGCCUGCUGCAUUCACAGUGGAGUAUUCUGUGGUCACCUAGAUUGAGUCCCCCCAGAGAGCUGCUCAGUUAUUUUACUCUUUUGGGAAAAACAGCUAUGAGUCAUUUUUCCAGGUAGCCAUCCUGAUAACAGAAAUUCAGAAAAUCUAAAAAAGCACCUGAGGGCCUGAAGAGAGCAAAGGGGGCCUUUGGGAAGAAUGAACUCAACUGGUGGUGAGAAUGCCUUGUAUUUAGAACUUUUUAAGGGUUUUUUCCCCUUUUCUUCUCUUAAAUGAUGAAAAAAAGGUUUCUACUACUACCUUAAAAAGAGAAAAAGCACUGAAAUAUUAUUGCCAUGAAUGCAAGAUCAUUGCUCUGGGGCAAGGUGGCUCCUUGGUACCUUAGGAGUUUAUUGUUUCUAACAGGCCCCUAGUGGUGGCGGUGGGGGCUUCAUUCUUCUCCCUAGGAAAUUGGUGGGCCAUGGUAUGAACAAUUCUAAGCACAAAAAUAAAUAAGAGACACCAUUCAGUAGUACUCAAUUCUUGCAAGGAUUGCCUUGUGAACUCACUGGGUCUUCUCCUCCUGGACCGGACACCAUCUGAAGAACUCCAUGCCUGGUCUUUGCUCUCCAUAGGCCUCAGGGCAUGCCAUGGGAAACACCCAGUAGAUCCCAGUGAACUUGUCAUUCAGCUGUGUCCUUCAAAAUUUGGAAUAAACUAUGAAAUGAACUAAAGGUAGGUACAGAAUUGCAGUUGAAAUACAAUGCAUUUUUCAGAUAGAUUCUUUCUGAAAAAGGGAGGUGGUGUAAAAUCCCUAUGUUCAGGCUUUUAUGGCUGAAGCCUCUCUCCAUGAGUCAGUGCCAUUUGCCAACUGCUGGGGGGCAGUGGAACCAGGCCUCACCAGGAGGCGAUCUUUGCCUGGAAACCAUAGCAUCUUCAUCGUGUUCUUGGGCUGGGUUUUAUUCUCUUUUGUUUUGUUUGAUUAUGUUAAAUCUGAUGGAAUGAGCAGCUAUUUCAAACAUAGCGAGACACAUUACCAUUUUGGAUUUACUACUGGCUUGUUUUGAAGUCCUUUAUUGCAUUCAUUGUUUUGUUUUUAUUGUUUCUAUUCUAUCCGAUUUUUACUGUAUCCGAAGGUAUCUUCAGCUAUUUUGAAGACAACAAAAGGCAAUAUGGUAAUUAUUGUUAUUUCUUAAGGUUUUGAAGUCCUGUAUCACUCAUACUGCUUUAUGUUGAUUGGUUUUAUUCUGUUUUAUUUUCCUUUUUUAAUCUCUAUAAAAUAUAAUUUUAAAAAAUAUUUUAAAAGAAUAAAAAUAAAAUAAAAUUUUAAAAAAAGAAAGUCAAUUUGUUCAGCCAUGAGUUUUUAAUUGAGCCAGAGUCCCGCUGCCUUAGGAGAAAAUGAAGCAGGAGAUGGAAACUGCAACUCCUGGGCCAGUCUGUCUUCUCAGACAGGUUGCUGUCCUGCAUUGCAAGUGACACCAAAGAGAUUCCUCUAAAGUCUCCUUGAGAAAUCAAAAGGCUGAUAGACAAGAAGGGCAGUCUGACAACCCCCUCAAGACCUUAGCCUUGUUCCUAAUUCCUACGGACUAUAAGGAUCAAUCUAGAAAAUGAAUUGGUCCUUCCUCAUGAGACACAGUGACCAGCUAUAAAAACCCUACGUGGGAAGAUGGUCGAUUUUCACAGGAUUGCAAUAGUGGUGACCACCCGAUAGACCUGCAACACUUGCACAUUUGUGGUUGUAAUAACCCUGGAAAGCUCACAUCAUCUCCUUUUCUAAAAGAAAAAUUGCAGCUUCUGUGAACCUCUGGAAAGUCUGGGGAUCCUCUUCAAAAAACAAGACUCCAGUUCUGCUUUGGUUAUAGACAGUCAGGAAUGACCUUUAACCCAUCGCAGCUUAAAUGGGAUUUUCUUUCUUUCUUUCUUUCUUUUUUUUUUUUUUUGUCUUUUUUUUUUUUUCAUUUUUAUCGGUACCGGGGAUUGAACUCAGGACUGCCUGCUUGCAAGGCAGGUGCUUAUGCCGAUGAGCUAAAUCCCCAGCCCCCAAAUGGGAUUUUCUAGUGGGGCUUCUGUCGAUAAUGGGAGUAAUUUUUCUAAGAAUAUAUGUAGACUCUCGGCAAUUUACUGAAUAUCUCUAUUCACCAUGCUUUAUCCUCCACAAGAAGCAAAGAAAUAAAGCUUAAUGUCUCUAAUUGCUGGAUGAGUUAUAGUCAAUCUUUUAAGACAAACCAAGAAAUAUUCUGAUCUACUCCUCCUUAUGUUUGGGCUCUGAAUUUCCAAUCUAAUGGUAAGAUUUAUCUAUUCAAGGCUUCAGACAGUGAUCUAGGUAUAGCCCAUGACCCUCCUGACAAAUUCACCAACUUUUCUCAGCUCAUCAGUUCACUAACUUUUCUCACUGUGUUCUGAUGGGUUUUUCCUGCUUUUAACCUAGCCAUGACACCCCAAGGACAUUAGAGAGCACGUAAUUCCUAGGAGGUAUGGCCUAUGGCUCUUCCGGAAAUAGUCACAUGAAGACAGAGACAGCCACAUCCUCCACAGCCCAUAAAGAAUUGUAAGAAUUUUUGUCUCUCAGGGGAAAUGAGGCAGAUUAGAGCACAAAGUGGCUGGCCAAUUGUGUGUGAUGCAUCAAUCACAGCAACCUGUCAAUCACAGAGAUUUAGCACACAUGCUCAGGGCAGUUCCUAAUCCCUGAGCCUGGUGCCUGUCAGAGAAUUCCAUCUUUGAUUUUUUUGGCACAAGAUCCAGCAGGUUUUACAUCUGACAUCAGAACUGGGUAUAAAAGAGUAGCCAUUUACCUCCUGGCCACCAUGAGCAUUUCACCAGCCCAGCCAACACUCUGCAGAUGGUUCUUAGUUUACUAUCAUGGGCCCAUACUCACUUUGCAAAACACUUCUUUUUCAGAGCAAUUCUUUUCCCUUCUCUUCUCAUCUUUAAUAAAUGUAAAUCUUCACUACAUUUUUUCUUGUCUUUUCCAGUUCACUGAAUAAGACAAGAACCUAGAAGGUACCAUCAGGCACCCCAGUACACUGUUAGAACUAGGAAAAAUUGUUUUUGUUGGUAAUUAUUUAUUUCAGCUAGCUUACCAAA